GCUCCAAUAGCGUAUAUUAAAAUUGUUGCGGUUAAAACGCUCGUAGUUGGGUAUCUGCCAAGAAGUUGUGGUCCUCCAAGUGGAGAGUACUCGGAACAUUUCUUGUCAAUUGUUCAGGGACGGUGUUUACACUUGGCUGUGCGACACGAGAUCUGAAUUUUUUACUUUGAGGAAAUGAGAGUGUUUCAAGCAGGCAGUUG
rnacentral:rRNA from 1 species